CUUCGGUCCGGGGGAAAGUGGCGCACGGGUGAGUAACGCGUGGGAAUCUACCCAGCAGUACGGAAUAACUCCGGGAAACCUGGAUUAAUACCCAAUACCCUGCCUGCACCUCAUGGUGCGUUCAGGAAACGCUCCGGUGCUCCGGGAGGGUCUCGCGGCCUAUCAGCUUGUUGGUGAGGUAACGGCUCACCAAGGCAUCGACGGGUAGCUGGUCUGAGAGGACGAUCAGCCACACUGGGACUGAGACACGGCCCAGACUCCUACGGGAGGCAGCAGGUGGGAAUAUUGCGCAAUGGGCGAAAGCCUGACGCAGCGACGCCGCGUGGGGGAAGAAGGCCUUCGGGUCGUAAACCCCUUUCAGCAGGGACGAAAUUGACGGUACCUGCAGAAGAAGCGCCGGCCAACUACGUGCCAGCAGCCGCGGUAAUACGUAGGGCGCAAGCGUUGUCCGGAUUCAUUGGGCGUAAAGGGCUCGUAGGCGGUUUGGUAAGUCGGGUGUGAAAAACUCAGGGCUCAACUCUGAGACGCCACUCGAAUACUGCCAUGACUAGAGUCCGGUAGGGGAGUGUAGAAUUCCUGGUGUAGCGGUGAAAUGCGCAGAUAUCAAGGAGGAAUACCGAUAGCGAAAGGCAGCACUCUGGGCCGGUACUGACGCUCAAGGAGCGAAAGCGUGGGUAGCAAACAGGAUUAGAUACCCUG
rnacentral:rRNA from 1 species